CCGUUGCCCACCAGGGGUGCUCAGGUCAGGCAGCAGCCCCCCUGCAGCCCCCUGCCCCGUAGGGAUGCUCGGAUUGGGGAGCAGCCCACCCUGAAGCCCCCUACCCUCCAGGGAUGCUCAGGUCAGGGAGCAGCCCCCCCGCCCUGUAGGGAUGCUCAUGUUGGGGAGCAGCUCCCCUGCCCCCCAGGGAUGCUCAGGGCGGGGAGCAGCCCCCCCCGCAGCCCCACUGCCCCAUAGGGAUGCUUGGAUCAGGGAGCAGCCCCCCUGCAAGCUUCCUACCCCGCAGGGAUGCUCAGGCUGGGGAUGCAGCCCCCCUGCAGCCCUCCUGCCCGUCAGGGAUGUUCAGCUUAGGGAGCAGCCCCCCACUGUUGGGGGUGGGAGGUCAGGGCUGAGAUGCUCCCCGUCAUCCCCCUCCUGCUGCUGUACCCCCUUCGUGCGGGGCUGGGCCAAGCUGAACCCCCAGCCCGUGCCCCCUGCAGCGGUGUGGGGGCCGUGGAUCCAGCGAGGAUGGGGGCUCCUUUGCCGCAGACCCAUCCUGCAGCCUUCCCCAGUGGUUUCCCCUUCUCUGGUGUAGCGCCGCUGGUCCUCAGAGCAUCCUGGGGGAGCCUGCAGGUGGAGGGUUUGUUGUGCUUGGCUGCACAGCUCGGCUGGGACCAGGUGGUCGCUCGCGUUGGAUCUGCUGGGAUUGCAGCACCGCGGGUCGGGAGAAGGCUUGCGCUUCAGGCCAGCCCGGCCGUAGCUCUGCCAGACUGUCCUACUGCCCCCCAGGCCCUAUUGCAUCUCCUGGCUCGCCUCUCUGGGUUGUCUCCCUGCGGGCAGCGUGCUGAGCAAAAGGGGAAGAGGAGAGGGGAGUUGGGGGUGACCUGGGUGGCCGGCCGUGCUCCCUUUUGCCUUGGAGCCCUCUGUGAUGUGGCGUCGGAGCAGGGUUCGUGUCGCAGAUUAUUUGUGCACUCCAGAGGAAAAUGUUUACAAGAUAGACUUCACCAGGUUCAAAAUCCGGGACAUGGAAUCUGGCACAGUGUUGUUUGA
rnacentral:lncRNA from 1 species